rnacentral:rRNA from 1 species
CGGGGUGAGUAACGCGUGAGGAACCUGCCUUACACAGGGGGACAACGGCUGGAAACGGCUGCUAAUACCGCAUAAGCACCCAGUUUCGCAUGAAACAGAGUGAAAAGAGUAAAUCGGUGUAAGAUGGCUCUGCGUCUGAUUAGCUAGUUGGUGGGGUAAAGGCUCACCAAGGCGACGAUCAGUAGCCGGCCUGAGAGGGCGACCGGCCACAUUGGGACUGAGACACGGCCCAGACUCCUACGGAAGGCAGCAG